AGCUUCUCUUCAAGUGAGCACUGCGCAAUCUGAGCUCUUCGAUUUCGACAAAAUUUGAAUAUUGAUUAUCGAAGAUAAUGUGAAUUGAGUAGCGAAUCUGGACGCAAGGGACGCAAUAAUAGUUCCGGCAUUGUUGAGGGUUGGUACUCAUGCUUGAUACGCAGCCAACUUCACGCAUUACGUACUUCACUUCGCACUUGCGCUGGCGUACACUUCGUAUGCUGCGUAUCCUCGACAUUCUGCAAAGAAAUGAUUUCUUUUUUUUGGAUUUAUUUCGUCACUUCUUUGGGCGGAAAACUCGAAUUCGGCCAUUUGUAAAAAUUACAUUUCUCCAAAGUUGAUGGCACCGUUUAGAAACUGUAUUUUCUUCAAAAAAAAAAGAAAAGAAAAAACAUUUUUUGCAAGAUUCCUUUACCGGGAUUUCUUUGGCUGAUACCUUUGGCGGAAAAUCAAAUUGUGACCAUUUGCAGAGUGUACAUUCUUCUCAAAGUUGACGGCACCGUGCGCAGAUGGUCUUAUCUUGGCAGACUUUUUAAGGGGCAAUGCUGUCAUCGAUUC